rnacentral:lncRNA from 1 species
UUAGGAAUAGGGACGUGACCGGCUUAAAUGCUUCUUGCUACACUAUUAUUCUUAAUUAAUUUUGGGACUAUCAGUAAGUUAUGAUAAUAGAAAUGUCUAGAACAAGAAAUAGGAAAACUUUAUUGUCUUUAAAUUCUCUUAAUUCCUUUUUCUAGUCAAAGUUUAUGUAUAUUUCCUUUUGGUGUGCCACGACUAGGUGGAAGAAGUUUAAUGAAAUUGUUGCACCUCUAUUUUAAUAAUUAAUUUAUUGUUUAGUUUUGACUUAACUUUACAUUAUUUUAUUUAUUCGAUGAUUUAUAUUAUGUGAUGAUCUAUAUUUAACCAAGAUACAUGAGAACUUAAUUAGAAUCAAUUCUUUUGAUUUCUUCCUCAUAAUAGCAUUGGACCAACUUAACUACCAUGUGUUUACUUUCGGUACACAGUGAUGCUAGUUAAUUGGCAUUUAAUUCUUUCAUAAUUUCUUGAGGCCUUAUCAUAAUUCUUUUAUAACCAUUCCUCCUUUCAUUCCCAAAGUGUUUUCACGCCUCCAUACCAUACUCACCUUAUUCAUAAACAAACAACUUUUUCGGUUCUUCUUACUCUGAACUCUUGCAAGAUCAAAAUGAAGUUUUGGAUUCUCAAUCUCUUGAUUUAUAUAAUAUUUUUUCAUUGAUCUUAGAGUCUUCUUCCAUGUUAAGGAGGUAAGGGCUUUUUCCCCAUAUGUUCGUGCUAGGAAUAAGUUUAUGUUAUGAAAUAAAUAUUAGAAUAUUUAACCAUUAAAAAGGUAAUGUUAUGUUUUGUGUUUGAGUUGUUCUUUGAUGUAUGUGUGUGAUUGACUAUGAUUGAGAGGUUCUGUGAUUUAUGUGUGUGAUUGACUGUGAAAUGGAAUAGUGUGUUAGUUUUGAUUCAAGUACUCUAGCACAAUAAAUUAUUGUUAGUUAGUUUGAAGAUAUGUAUCAUAUUUUGAGACAUCCAUCAUGUAGUAUGCAUGGUAGGUGCCUCCGUGGCUGAAUUGUGCCUUCGUGGCUGAACUUUGCCUUCGUGACUGAAUUGUGCUUCCGUGGCUGAACUUUGCCUUCGUGGCUGAAUUGUGCCUUCGUGGUUGAAUUUAUCCGGAUCAUGAGUUUGCAUUUUCAUGCAUAUAAAACAUUCAUUUGUGUUAAAAGAAUUUAAUAUUUAAGUUUUUUUUAUUUCUUUUUAGGGUAAAAUGUUCUAUUAUUUGUUUUAUGACAUUUACUUUCCGUUUGGCAUGUCCCAAUUUGAAUAAGGAAAUUGACCCUUACAUUAAAUAAAUUGUUGUAGGUACCAAAGAAUGAUAAUAUGAAGUUGAUGUUUGAUUGAAGCAUACGCGGGGAAAAAAAUGAGUUUUAUUGAAUUGUAAAUGAAAUUUAAAAUAUUCUUUUUAGUGUACUAUUUUCUUCUGUUAGAAAAUAACAAAUUAUAAACAGUAAAUUUCUAUCAAUUUAUUUAAAUAGCUCGUCUUUCUAUUAGUCUGAUUUCAAUAGUUUAUUUAU